rnacentral:rRNA from 1 species
GGCAAUGGGGGGNANCCUGAUCCAGCCAUGCCGCGUGUGUGAAGAAGGCCUUUUGGUUGUAAAGCACUUUAAGCGAGGAGGAGGCUACCGAGAUUAAUACUCUUGGAUAGUGGACGUUACUCGCAGAAUAAGCACCGGCUAACUCUGUGCCAGCAGCCGCGGUAAUACAGAGGGUGCAAGCGUUAAUCGGAUUUACUGGGCGUAAAGCGCGCGUAGGUGGCCAAUUAAGUCAAAUGUGAAAUCCCCGAGCUUAACUUGGGAAUUGCAUUCGAUACUGGUUGGCUAGAGUAUGGGAGAGGAUGGUAGAAUUCCAGGUGUAGCGGUGAAAUGCGUAGAGAUCUGGAGGAAUACCGAUGGCGAAGGCAGCCAUCUGGCCUAAUACUGACACUGAGGUGCGAAAGCAUGGGGAGCAAACAGGAUUAGAUACCCUGGUAGUCCAUGCCGUAAACGAUGUCUACUAGCCGUUGGGGYCUUUGAGRCUUUAGUGGCGCAGCUAACGCGAUAAGUAGACCGCCUGGGGAGUACGGUCGCAAGACUAAAACUCAAAUGAAUUGACGGGGGCCCGCACAAGCGGUGGAGCAUGUGGUUUAAUUCGAUGCAACGCGAAGAACCUUACCUGGUCUUGACAUAGUAAGAACUUUCCAGAGAUGGAUUGGUGCCUUCGGGAACUUACAUACAGGUGCUGCAUGGCUGUCGUCAGCUCCGUGUC